rnacentral:lncRNA from 1 species
UUGGAAAUAGGGUCAUUGAAGAUGUAAUUAGUUAGUAUGAGGUCAUACUUCACGGAUGAGGGUGGGACCCUAAUCCAGUAUGACUGGUGUCCUUAUUAAAGGAAGCAAUUUGAACACAAAGACAGACUCACACAGGAAGAACAACACGUGAAGGUAAGUCAGGGAUUGGAGCAAUGAUUCUAUAAGCCAAGGGACACCAAAAAUGGCCGGCAAAUAACCAGAGUUAGGAGAGAGGCAUGAAACAGAUUGCCCCUCACAGCCUCAGAAGCAACCAAUCCCACUGACUCCUUGAUCUUUGACUUGUAGCCUCCAGAACCGUGAGACAAUAUAUUUCUUUUCUUUAAGUGUCCCUGUCUGUGGUACUUUGUGAUGGCAGCCCUAGCAGUCUACGAAAUCUAAUAUAAAUUUUAACCAGAGGAGGCCCAUUCCCUUUCCUUUCAGAAAGAAAAUAAUAUUUUAUGUAUCCUACAUGAUUAUUGUCAGCCCUUUCCUUAUAUAUCUGCAUAUAUAGAAAAAUCAUAUAGAGAGAGCCCAUAAGACAGAAUAGUACCUUAUAUAAAGACUUUGUUCAUGCC